AGGCUUGGGUUGGCAGGCCAGGAUGCUCGGCUGCGGCCUGAGGUUUCCUCGUGGUCCUAAUGCUCAGGUCUUCUCCUCAACCCAGCUCAGCCAGCCAGGAAAAGCAAAGGCUACGUGGAAGAGAAACCUGGAAUUGCAACCUGAACAAAUCACCAACAGUUUCCAUUGGGUUUCUCUUUAUAACACACAAAAAUGGAAAGAAAGGAAACCAGGACCGAGUGAGACAAAGAGCACAAUCUCCAGGUCACUGUGACCUUGGCCCAGUGCUGUAAAGGUUUCCUGAGAUAUAUAGUUCUUUCUCUUCAGCCCAUAGUGAGAUUUGAACUUAGGGCUGCACACUUGCCUGGCUGGCACUCUGCCAAUUGAACCGUGCCUCCAGCCUGGGAGAUAGCCAAUGACAACGAGCCACCGUGACCUAUAAACUCGGGGCCGCUCCUCCACCUGCAAUCAAGCCCUUCCGUAUGUCGUAUUUCCAGUCACACCACACAAGCCCGUGAAACAGGACCCUACACGGGGAACUUCUGUAGCAUGCCCUCCUUCAUUCUUACAACAGACAGCACGCACGACAGGGAGCUCCAAAUAGGUUUAAAAUGCUGGCAAGGGGAGCACAGCUCUCCCCGCAGGGUGGGAGCUGGUGCCAGGCUCACCCUUGGCCCUGGGCAGCAAGACAGACUCACCCCACACCUGGCCCUAUUCACCUUGGCUGAAGGCAAGCAACCCCUCAGCUGUGUGCGAAAUAACCAAAUAGCUGAAGAGUCUUCCACUUGGGUAGCUCCAGAGGGCACAAUCAACAGUAUCAAUACCUUCAUGGGAUUUGCAGAAAGCUGUACCUUGGUCUCAAGGAUCUGGCCUGAGCAACUGC